GUCUCUUGUAUAUAGACCUUAGUGGUCCCUAAUACUGUAUCUGAAGUCUCUUUUAUACAGACCUUAGUGGUUCCCAUCAGCCAUAGGUAAGAAUUGAACAAUAUCAUCUAUAAAAUGACUUUUUAUCUUUGGGUUAAUCUUAUUUUUGUGUGUUUUCAGGAGAAGAAAUGGAUCGUUUUAUCCUCCCUACAUUAGUGUUGCAGGCAACUUUUCACCAGCCAGCUGCGUCUUCAGCGAGGUCAUGAACUUGUCUGCGUUUGUGGGGUUCAUAAUUGCUGUCCUCCGAUACCUUCAGCUGAAACACAGGACACACCAUCAGUGGCUGAAUGUCGGUAGUCUGGUGUGUUUCUCCAUCGGCUGCUUUGGGAUGACGCUUGUUGGAAACUUCCAGGUAACGUGCACCACUGACACACGCAUAUAUUU